GGUACCUGGCAGUGUCUUCUGUAUCUCUUCCUUGGUUUCUACCCUCGUCUCAGCUCAGACUCCACAAAGGAACUGGACUCUGGGCCUGUGCUUACAGAGAGAAUAUGAAACAAGUGGCGAAAGUGACUGUGCUCCUGAUCUUGGCUACGUCAAGCCUUGCUAAGACCACUCAGCCCCUCUCCAUGGACUCCUACGAAGGGCAAGAAGUGAAUGUGUCCUGUAGCCACACAGACAUCGCUACAAACGAGUACAUCUACUGGUACCGGCAGCUCCCCUUUCAAGGACCACACCUCAUUAUUCAAGGAUAUAAGGUCCAUGUGGCAAAUGAAGUGGCAUCUCUGUUUAUCUCUGCUGACAGGAAGUUCAGCCCUCUGAGCCUGCCCAUGGUUUCCCUGAGAGACAGUGCUAUGUACUACUGCAUCGUGGCUGACACACAGUGAGACAGAUGGAUUUGCACCUGUGCAGUAACCUGUAGCGAGAUCGAAGUCACAGUCUAGACAGAAGCACAGACCCAGUGAUUUCCAAAAUCCUAUGGUAUUUUUAUUUUCAUGCAUUCAUGUAAACAUGCAUUCUUAUGUUACCUAAUUUUUCCUGUCAUU